AGUGAACGCUGGCGGUAGGCUUAACACAUGCAAGUCGAACGGCAGCACAGUAAGAGCUUGCUCUUACGGGUGGCGAGUGGCGGACGGGUGAGGAAUACAUCGGAAUCUACUUUUUCGUGGGGGAUAACGUAGGGAAACUUACGCUAAUACCGCAUACGACCCACGGGUGAAAGCAGGGGAUCUUCGGAUCUUGCGCGAUUGAAUGAGCCGAUGUCGGAUUAGCUAGUUGGUGGGGUAAAGGCCCACCAAGGCGACGAUCCGUAGCUGGUGUGAGAGGAUGAUCAGCCACACUGGAACUGAGACACGGUCCAGACUCCUACGGGAGGCAGCAGUAGGGAAUAUUGGGCAAUGGGCGCAAGCCUGAUCCAGCCAUCCCGCGUGGGUGAAGAAGGCCUUCGGGUUGUAAAGCCCUUUUGUUGGGAAAGAAAAGCAGCAGGUUAAUACCCCGCUGUUCUGACGGUACCCAAAGAAUAAGCACCGGCUAACUUCGUG
rnacentral:rRNA from 1 species